AAUGUUUCCCAAUCUUAAAGUGAAUAAUUUGCAUUUUCAGUGUGCUUUGUAUGCUAUGCCUUUUAUGAACUUCUUGGGGGCUUGUGGGGAAGUACACCAAAAACAGAAAUUCUUGGUACUUAAUUCAACUCCCAGGGAAACUACCUGUUUUUCAUGAUUAUGAACUGAGUUUAAACUCUAGAAACCACUCCUAAGCCUCUGGGGUGGUAAGACACCCUGCAUUUUACAUCAUUAUAUGCCUCUUUUAGUCCUAAAACAUGUAGAAAAACUUGACCUGAAGCAUAGUUUCAGUGUCUUGAUCUUUCUAGGCUCUCCCAUCCCACAGGCCUUGAAGGCCAUUGCACAGGCCAGUGGCUAGCUCUUCCCUGAUCUGAGUCACCAUCAUCAUUACAAUGGGUUGGACUCAACAUAAAUCAACUGGAGCCCCAAGUAUGCAUAGACCACCCACCCUAUCCUCUCAGGGCUACAGGCAUCCUGGAAAAUCA
rnacentral:lncRNA from 1 species